rnacentral:rRNA from 1 species
UACGGGGGGGGCAAGCGUUGUUCGGAAUUACUGGGCGUAAAGGGCGCGUAGGCGGCCUGCUAAGUCGGACGUGAAAUCCCCCGGCUCAACCGGGGAACUGCGUCCGAUACUGGUGGGCUCGAAUCCGGGAGAGGGAUGUGGAAUUCCAGGUGUAGCGGCGAAAUGCGUAGAUAUCAGGAGGAACACCGGUGGCGAAGGCGGGUCUCUGGGCCGGAACUGACGCUAAGGAGCGAAAGCGUGGGGAGCGAACAGG